CAGUAGUACCGUAGUGGGACCCACGGUAAGUAGGUAUUUUAUUUAUUGUUUAUUUUUCCAUAUUUUCUUCAAUAGUCUUUUUCUAUUAUUAUUUAUUGUUUAUUUUUCCAUAUUUUCUUCAAUAGUCUUUUUCUAUUAUUAUUUAUUGUUUAUUUUUCCAUAUUUUCUUCUUUAGUCUUUCUCUAUUACUAUUUGACGGAACUCUUUGAAUGUCUGGUCGUUACAAGCUUAAGUUGUGUCCCCACAUGGAAGUUAUUCGGUUGGGUCCAUCGAAGGAAAAUUGAUUGAACCGGUCUGGUCAUUCUCUCCCAAACUAUAGAACCAAUUUCGGUCUGCAUCGGAGUUUCGAAGUCGCGGACUUAUCAGAGUGGGCUUUUUAAGGAAUGUUUUUAGAAUAUUUACCAGCCCAAUCCCAUUUUAAGUAUGUCCAGAUCUUAAUUUGGCGAGCCUUUUUAUAUAUGGUGAACAACUGAUUCUAAUGUGUAUGUUUCACUUUUAUUAGAGAAAAAAUGUGAAAAGAUUUAAUGUGUAUGUUUCACUUUUAUUAGAGAAAAAAUGUGAAAAGAUUCUUAAAAGUAUUUAUUUAUGCUAAUUGGCAAAACUAAAACAUCAAUUUAUGUACAUCAUUUUAGUUCUUCCUCUAAGA